rnacentral:rRNA from 1 species
AUGGCCUUUGCUGGCGUAUCUCUCAUUGCUGACUGCAAGCUGUGCGCCUCCACCAAGUCGGCCAUCAACUCCGGUGCAGAUAGCGGGUACCACUUGCUCGUUGUCGAAGGUUACUUGCGCACCAAAGAGACUACUCCCAACCGCGAGUCCAUCGGGUCUCGUCCUUUCAUUGUUGGGGGCCGUCGCUGGGCCAUCGGCUACCACCCUAAUGGUUUGGACAAGGAUGCUGAAGAAUUUAUAUCGGUUUCCCUUGUCCUUGAAGACGAUACCAGGCCAAGCGUUGAGUUUGAAUUCAUGAAAAGGGAGGGUUUUGAAAGAUCAAGGCAUCUCAAAGACGACAGCUUCGUCAUCCGGUGUGACCUUGUUGUCCUCAAGCCGGCCGCGGACAAGGAGCAGGGCACCACCGCUCUUCCUUUCACCGAAUUGCCACAGGCCGACUUACCAAGCCAUCUUGGCGAUCUCCUCCUGAGCAAGGAGGGUGCUGACGUCACGUUUGAGGUUGACGGCAAGGAGUUCGCUGCGCACCGGUGGAUGCUUGCAGCCCGAUCUACCGUCUUCAAGGCACAGCUCUUUGGCACCAUGAAUGUGGGCAAUGCUACGUCAAGUGUUGUCAAGAUAGACAACAUCAAAGCAAACGUCUUCAAGGGCUUGCUAACUUUCAUCUACACUGAUGGAAUGCCUGAAUUCGAGCAUGACGAUGACGAUGAGGCUGGUGACAUGGAACAGGAUGAUGACUCAGAAGAAGAUGGAAUGAAAGAAGACUGGCUGCUACAGCUCCUUGAAGCUGCAGAAAAAUAUGGUCUCCAAAGGCUCAAGUCAAUCUGUGAAGAGAAGUUGACCGAAUUGAUUUGCAAGGACACGGUGGCAGACAUCAUUGUCGUGGCUGAGCGGAACCAGUGCCUCUGGUUGAAGGAGUCUUGCUUGGAGUUUGUCAAAACUCGCACAAAUUUACACAUAGUUUUCACCGCUGAUGGCUUGGAGCAAAUAAUCAGGACCUGCAGCCCCUCUGUUCUCAAGGAGCUUCUCUCCAAGUUUGCUUCCUGA